rnacentral:rRNA from 1 species
UACGAAGGUCCCGAGCGUUGUUCGGAAUCACUGGGCGUAAAGGGAGCGUAGGCGGCGUGGUAAGUCAGAUGUGAAAUCCCGGGGCUCAACCCCGGAACUGCAUCCGAUACUGCCGUGCUUGAGGGUUGGAGAGGUAGCUGGAAUUAUCGGUGUAGCAGUGAAAUGCGUGGAUAUCGAUAGGAACACUCGUGGCGAAGGCGAGCUACUGGACAACAUCUGACGCUGAGGCUCGAAGGCUAGGGGAGCAAAAGGG